GAAUCCGGUAAGACCCCUUAAAGACGAUGAGGUAGAUAGGGCAGGGGUGGAAGCAUGGCAACAUGCGGAGCUGACUGCCACUAAUAGGUCGAGGGCUUAACCAAG
rnacentral:rRNA from 1 species